ACUCCUACGGGAGGCAGCAGUAGGGGAAUCUUCCACAAUGGGCGCAAGCCUGAUGGAGCAACACCGCGUGAGUGAAGAAGGGUUUCGGCUCGUAAAGCUCUGUUGUUAAAGAAGAACACGUAUGAGAGUAACUGUUCAUACGUUGACGGUAUUUAACCAGAAAGUCACGGCUAACUACGUGCCAGCAGCCGCGGUAAUACGUAGGUGGCAAGCGUUAUCCGGAUUUAUUGGGCGUAAAGAGAGUGCAGGCGGUUUUCUAAGUCUGAUGUGAAAGCCUUCGGCUUAACCGGAGAAGUGCAUCGGAAACUGGAUAACUUGAGUGCAGAAGAGGGUAGUGGAACUCCAUGUGUAGCGGUGGAAUGCGUAGAUAUAUGGAAGAACACCAGUGGCGAAGGCGGCUACCUGGUCUGCAACUGACGCUGAGACUCGAAAGCAUGGGGUAGCGAACAGGAUUAGAUACCCUGGUAGGAUAGCG
rnacentral:rRNA from 1 species